UGCUCAGCGCUCCUGCCUCUCACGUCCCAGGUCCCGGGAUCGGAUCCCCGGGAGACAAGUGUUUUUCCUGCUUGUUGGGUCCUGCAGGACACUUGUAGGCCAAAGUCUGAGUACGGUGCUCUCGCCUCUCAUGCUCCAGGUCUCAGGAUGGGACCCCCAGAAACUUUUUACACCCGUUUGAGCCUUAGGCCCAGCAGCCUGGAGGAGGCUCAAAUGGCCUCGGAGGGUGGCGGCUGGCUCAGGAGCCCUGCGGAGGCGACUUACCUCGAGUCCCAGGUCUGCAGUUCAAGCUGCUGUAGAAUUGCAGUGACAACAUGAAGCAGUUUACUUUUGUCAACGUGUUUUAUUUUCACUAACUCUUGUUAAAUAAAGACCGAGGGAGGCCCCUAGAAGCCUGUUGUUUGAACCACAGAGAAACUUACAAACCAUUAAACCUCUCCAGGUCUUUGUUUUUCGGGCAGAAACGGCAAGUGUCUGCAGGGCGUCCCCUGUCCUCUGCAGCUUGACUCCAGCCUCGUCUGCCAUCCAGACUGCUGAGAGUGGCAGGAGGGGACAGGGGCUGAGUGACACACCAGGAAGCAGAGAGAAUAUAAAAGUGAGGGAGAUCCCAGCCCUGCUGUUUCCUGAGUUCUCGGCAACAAGUCUGCUGUGAACACAACCACAGUGAUUAAUGAUUUUAAUUUUCAGCCCCCAAGGCAGAAGGACAGGCUGGAACAGGGCAGGAAGCAGGUCCCAGGCCCUGCGGGAUCGGCACCGGCUCUCUGACUACCCGGCCUGGCAGCUGGCACCUGGGUCUUAAGUGCAGCCAAGAAACAGAUCUUAAAGCUUUUCUGAGAAGAAAGAUUUAAGGAUUCAGGAGCAUCUGAGGGGCCAAGAGAAAACUGCAGCCAAGUGUCCCGGGGACCCAGAGGGCUUGAGUUUUCUGGGUGGCAGAAGAGUUCGAGACCUGCUGAGACCAAGGUUGUCCCGUGGAAAGCCCAGGCCAUUGUGAGACUGACAGCCUACCCCCCCACCACACACACACACACACACACACACACACACGGCAGCUUCACCAUCUCUGUUUUGCUACAAAAAAUUUCAAAGAUGCAGGAAACAGCACCUACUGUGUUGCCCUCUGUGGAGACGCCGCUCCUUUUCCGCCACUGUCUUCUGUCUGUCUGGUCCGGUCCCGUGUUUUCUCCUCCUUCCCCUCUGGUUAGCAGGGCUUCUCCCCCAGGUGAAAUCUAUCCAGCUCACUCGUUUGAAGGUCUUUGCAAACCUUCAUCACUUCCCCCGUGAGGCCCAGCUGAGAGCUGCACAAUGUCUGUGCAAACCGUGAGCUCGGAUGCCUCACGGCCACGGGGCUCAGGAGGUGGCACAGUGGCUACAGCGUCGGGCCCUCUAGCAGGAGACCCAAGUUCCACGCCAGGCACCACAAAGUCCAGAGGGAUGCGCAUGCUCUCUCUCACCCGCUCCCUCCCUCUCAUUAAACUAAAUUAAGAAU